rnacentral:rRNA from 1 species
UACGGAGGGGGCUAGCGUUGUUCGGAAUUACUGGGCGUAAAGCGCACGUAGGCGGCUUUGUAAGUUAGAGGUGAAAGCCCGGGGCUCAACUCCGGAAUUGCCUUUAAGACUGCAUCGCUCGAAUUGUGGAGAGGUAAGUGGAAUUCCGAGUGUAGAGGUGAAAUUCGUAGAUAUUCGGAAGAGCACCAGUGGCGAAGGCGACUUACUGGACACAUAUUGACGCUGAGGUGGCGAAAAGCGAUGGGGAGCAAACAGGG